rnacentral:tRNA from 1 species
GCCGAAGUGGUGGAAUUGGUAGACACGCUGUCUUGAGGGGGCAGUGGGGCGACUCGUGCCGGUUCGACUCCGGCCUUCGGCACCA